ACGGGUUAAGCAAGGGGAAAGGAGAGCGAACAUGGGGCUGACACCUUCUUGGUGGAACUCAACACCACUCUUACACCUAUCCACUUCCACAGCAUUCUUCAAUGGAAAUAGGCAAAGUUUUGGGAUCCAAUCAAAAUUUGCCUAAUGGUUCGUCCUCCUGAGUGAGUACCUCCUAGAUUUUUCAUUGUGCUGACAACAUCUAUCAUGCCCUCAACUUAUAUUUUGACUUGUGGCGUUACAAAAGUGAAGCUAUUUAAGGUUGUCAGAGGUUUGGGCUUGUUGGGAUGAAAAUGACCUGUCAAAAAGUCAGUUCCCCUCUGCCUGCAUCUAAGUGGUGUAUUCAACCACAUUAAACUUGCUUCUUCAGGUAACGCCAUGUGCCUGCUUAUUUAAUGAAUUGGGUAGGUGUGGAUCCAAUUGUAGAGUUGUGAGUUUGACACAGACUUAUUCAAUGUUGCUUGCUCUAAUGGGAGUCUAUAGGAUCUCGUGUUUGAAGAUCUUCUUCGUGCCUUUUGGAUUGAAUUAACUGUGGGGGAAAAUAAGUGAGUUUCACGUUCUUAACAGCCAAUAUAGAUAAAUAUGGUUGCUUAGAAAUCGAAGCUUAAAAACA